rnacentral:misc_RNA from 1 species
GCUCUCUACCAUAAAUACUUGCAAUUGGGUUAUAAGAAGCCACUGUGGAAAGCUGGGAGCUUACCAUUGGGUUGGGCCACGUUCUACAAUCAGACAGUUGCAUUGGACAGGAGUUGGCAUAGACUAGGGCUAGGUUAUGAUUCGAGGAUUGGACAGGAUGACAUUAACCAAGCAGCAGUAUUGCACUAUGAUGGAGUCCUGAAACCAUGGUUGGAUAUAUGUAUUGGGCAUUAUAUGAGUUACUGGACCAAACAUGUCAACUAUGAUCAUCCGUACUUGCGGCAGUGCAAUGUCCAUGGGUAAUUGAAAUCAGAGCAUGACAAAGGGUAUUAUUGGCCCGCACAACAUCAUUAAUUGCUUCUAGUUCUAAGAAGUUUUGUGUUCACUCGAUUCUUUAACAACUUCUGUAAAUUUUAAUUUUUUUUCCCAAAAGCCUGCUUACUUAUGGUAGCUGAGUCAAGUUAUACAAAUAAGGGUCUGAGGGGCAUAUUCUUAUGUGGUAGUUAGUGUACAUAAUUCAGGUGUUGGAUUUAGAUUCAAACAGAUACAUUUGGAAAGAAGAUUAAAGAGCAGAAGAAAAUGGAUUUUCUACAUUUUGUUGUUUGUUACUAAUGUCUCAUAGUUUUGUGAGUGAUCUAUGGUUUCCUUGAAGGACAUCUUUAUAUUGUAUUGGUCGUGGUUUCAGUGGAGUUACUCUCCUGGACUUUUAUUUUCCCGAUUAUUAGGAAUUGGAAAUGAACCAGAAGCGGGAAGGUUUCAGAAAUUAUAUUCUCUGGUAAAUAGUUUACCAUUUGAAUUGCAUAUCUUACUGUAGAAGUGAGAAGGGAUUCAUUCAGCCGAGGUAAAUUUGCCAAAGUGUUUAUUGAAAAAUGAUUGGAAACUGCUUCACACACCAUCCCAUUGGCCGGGGUAGGCUUGCCUAGGUAUUUUAUCAUCAGGGUAAAUUGCGCUUGAAUGACCUCAGAAUUCACAAAUGGAUGACGUGACCCAUGGAAGAAGGUGGUUGGAUUUGUGUGGACAUCGGAUAUCUAAUAAGGCGCUGUCCAUCUAUCCACGUUAUGUGGUGCAUUGGACAGAUUUUUGUUGCCAUAAUAUUAAUUGUAUAUUCUUCUGUUACCCCUUGGCUACAAUUUCUGCUCGGUGGUUUCUUUUCUUUGGACUCAUCUCUCAGUCCAUUUUCUUCCAAAUUGACGAAAAAUGGCCACCAUCUCUGCCAGGACUCCAA